CCUACGGGUGGCAGCAGUGGGGAAUAUUGCACAAUGGGGGAAACCCUGAUGCAGCGACGCCGCGUGAAGGAAGAAGUAUUUCGGUAUGUAAACUUCUAUCAGCAGGGAAGAAAGUGAUGGUACCUGACUAAGAAGCACCGGCUAACUACGUGCCAGCAGCAGCGGUAAUACGUAGGGGGCAAGCGUUAUCCGGAUGAAUUGGGUGUAAUGGGAGCGUAGGCGGCGGUGCAAGUCAGAAGUGAAAGCCCGGGGCUCAACCCCGGGACUGCUUUUGAAACUGUAUGGCUAGAUUGCAGGAGAGGCAAGUGGAAUGCCUAGUGUAGCGGUGAAAUGCGUAGAUAUUAGGAGGAACACCAGUGGCGAAGGCGGCUUGCUGGACUGUAAAUGACGCUGAGGCUCGAAAGCGUGGGGAGCAAACAGGAUUAGAUACCCCUGUAGUC
rnacentral:rRNA from 1 species